AUGAACGCUGGCGGCGUGCCUAAUACAUGCAAGUCGAACGAGGUGCUUGAGUAGCAAUACGAGAGUAUCCUAGUGGCGAACGGGUGAGUAACGCGUUGGUGACCUACCCCAAAGUGUGGGAUAACAGUUCGAAAGGAUUGCUAAUACCGCAUGUGGUCUUCGGAUUUAGAAACCGAUGACUAAAGGAGUAAUCCGCUUUGGGAGGGACCUGCGUCCCAUCAGCUAGUUGGUGAGGUAACGGCUCACCAAGGCGACGACGGGUAGGGGACCUGAGAGGGUGGCCCCCCACAAUGGAACUGAAACACGGUCCAUACACCUACGGGUGGCAGCAGUAGGGAAUAUUGCACAAUGGGCGAAAGCCUGAUGCAGCAACGCCGCGUGCGCGAUGAAGGCCCUCGGGUCGUAAAGUGCUUUUUGAAAGGAUGAGGAAGGACAGUACUUUCAGAAUAAGCUUCGGCUAACUACGU
rnacentral:rRNA from 1 species